rnacentral:rRNA from 1 species
GAUGAACGCUGGCGGCGUGCCUAAUACAUGCAAGUCGAGCGAACAGACGAGGAGCUUGCUCCUCUGACGUUAGCGGCGGACGGGUGAGUAACACGUGGAUAACCUACCUAUAAGACUGGGAUAACUUCGGGAACACGGAGCUAAUACCGGAUAAUAUAUUGAACCGCAUGGUUCAAUAGUGAAAGACGGUUUUGCUGUGAACUAUAGAUUGAUCCGCGCCGCAUUAGCGCGUUGGUAAGGUAACGGCUUACCAAGGCGACGAUGCGUAGCCGACCUGAGAGGGUGAUCGGCCACACUGGAACUGAGACACGGUCCAGACUCCUACGGUGUGCAGCAGUAGGGAAUCUUCCGCAAUGGGCGAAAGCCUGACGCAGCAACGCCGCUGAAGUGAUGAAGUGCUGCGGAUCGUAAAACUCUGUUAUUAGGGAAGAACAAAUGUGUAAGUAACUAUGCACGUCUUGACGGUACCUAAUCAGAAAGCCACGGCUAACUACGUG